rnacentral:rRNA from 1 species
GACGAACGCUGGCGGCGUGCUUAACACAUGCAAGUCGAACGGUGAAGCGCCUUCCCUUUUGGUGGGUGUGGAUGAGUGGCGAACGGGUGAGUAACACGUGAGUAACCUGCCCCCUUCUUCUGGAUAACCGCAUGAAAGUGUGGCUAAUACGGGAUAUUCUGGGUCUGUCGCAUGAUGGGUCUGGGAAAGAUAUUGUUUCGGUGGGGGAUGGGCUCGCGGCCUAUCAGCUUGUUGGUGGGGUGAUGGCCUACCAAGGCGGUGACGGGUAGCCGGCCUGAGAGGGUGAACGGUCACACUGGGACUGAGACACGGCCCAGACUCCUACGGGAGGCAGCAGUGGGGAAUAUUGCACAAUGGGCGCAAGCCUGAUGCAGCGACGCCGCGUGAGGGAUGGAGGCCUUCGGGUUGUGAACCUCUUUCGCCAGUGAAGCAGGCCUGCCUCGUUUGUGGGUGGGUUGACGGUAGCUGGAUAAGAAGCGCCGGCUAACUACGUG